UCCCAGAGUUUCGGGAGGAAUCGGUUGGUCGGGUCAGAGGUUGGAGGAAGGCUCUCCCCACGCCCCUAGCCCGCGGGAGGGGAGGAGCUCAGAAACCUUCCUAUAUCGUUCUGCGAAUUAUCUUUUCCACCCCUGGCUGGUCCCUCUUUCACCACUCUCACAGCUGGGUGAGUGGCUGGCUCCCCUCCCCCACACUGGUGAGUUGUGACCGCACCCCUCACGGCCACCAGGAGGGAGCUGACCCAUCUGCACACACCAGAGGUACACUCCUCGUCCUCACUGGAGAGGGCCGUCGGGCCAAGGACCCUUCCACACUCAUCUACCCAGCGCGCGCUCCACACGCACCUGGGAAGGGCCAGCCUGCCCCUCCAACGGCCACCCAGCAUCCACGAACCCCGCUGCGCAGCCGGGAGCCUUGGCUCCUUUAACGGUCUUCGAAGAAAAUCAAAUGGAGGGGCGGAACAGGAGGAAGCAGCUGGCUGGCAGGAAGUGGGUGCUGGGCCCCUGAAAGGACCCGAGCCAGCUGAUCGACAUCACUGAAAGUGCAGCCAAGGAUGGCUAUUUAGACAUAGCCCAGCCUGUUGUUGGCCUCACAGAGCCUUCCUCUUGCUCACACAUUUCUAAACUGUUCUACCCCAAACCCCGGAAAGGCCCUUCCCUGUGGAACUUCCCUGGCCCAUGGAGCCUCUUGAUCUUUACGAGGAGGCCAACCCUUAUGGGAGUUACUUCAAUCUCUACAGGGGUCCUGACUUGAAGCUACAAAUAAAAGGAUAUUUCAUGAAUUUGACUUUGAAAACAUGGAUGAGAAUAAUUGUGUAAGUGCAGGUUUGUAGCUGCAUCAUGUGAUCCCAGAAUCCCUGGUCACUGGUUCUUAAUUUGACCUUUGUGGGUCCCUCCUAUGAACCCUGAUGCACCUCCCCCAUAUUAUUUAAUUAGCCUUGUUGCUUCUCCCUCCCUCCACCCAGCACACACUAUCUUUUCUUUUCUUUCUCCAUUUGGCAAGUAGAAUAUUCUAAUGAGGUGAUCUGAACCCACUUCUAGUGCAAACUUCACCUCAGAACCAGUUGUGU
rnacentral:lncRNA from 1 species